UACGUAGGGGGCGAGCGUUGCCCGGAUUCAUUGGGCGUAAAGGGCGCGUAGGCGGUCCGUUGCGUCCCGCGUGAAAUCUCCCGGCUCAACUGGGAGGGGUCGCGGGAUACGAGCGGACUCGAGCUCGGUAGGGGCCAUGGAAUUCCCGGUGUAGUGGUGGAAUGCGUAGAGAUCGGGAGGAACACCAGUGGCGGAAGGCGGUGGCCUGGACCGAUGCUGACGCUGAGG
rnacentral:rRNA from 1 species